rnacentral:rRNA from 1 species
GAUGAACGCUGGCGGCGUGCCUAACACAUGCAAGUCGAGCGGGAGGUAUUGGAACAAAGCUUCGGUAGAGUGAAGAUACUAAGAGCGGCGGACGGGUGAGUAACGCGUAGGCAACCUGCCCCAUACAGAGGGAUAGCCUCGGGAAACCGGGAUUAAAACCUCAUAACGCUGUGAGUUCACAUGGACAUACAGCCAAAGAUUUAUCGGUAUGGGAUGGGCCUGCGUCUGAUUAGCUAGUUGGUGGGGUAACGGCCUACCAAGGCGACGAUCAGUAGCCGACCUGAGAGGGUAAUCGGCCACAUUGGAACUGAGACACGGUCCAAACUCCUACGGGAGGCAGCAGUGGGGAAUAUUGCACAAUGGGCGAAAGCCUGAUGCAGCAACGCCGCGUGAGCGAAGAAGGCCUUUGGGUCGUAAAGCUCUGUCCUUGGGGAAGAAUAAAUGACGGUACCCAUGGAGGAAGCCCCGGCUAACUACGUGCCAGCCGCCGCGGUAACAC